rnacentral:rRNA from 1 species
GACGAACGCUGGCGGCGUGCUUAACACAUGCAAGUCGAACGGUAAGGCCCUUCGGGGUACACGAGUGGCGAACGGGUGAGUAACACGUGGGUGAUCUGCCCUGCACUUCGGGAUAAGCCUGGGAAACUGGGUCUAAUACCGGAUAGGACCACUGCCUGCAUGGGUGGUGGUGGAAAGCUUUUGCGGUGUGGGAUGGGCCCGCGGCCUAUCAGCGUGUUGGGGGGGUGAUGGCAUACCAAGGCGACGACGGGUAGCCGGCCUGAGAGGGUGACCGGCCACACUGGGACUGAGAUACGGCCCAGACUCCUACGGGAGGCAGCAGUGGGGAAUAUUGCACAAUGGGCGCAAGCCUGAUGCAGCGACGCCGCGUGAGGGAUGACGGCCUUCGGGUUGUAAACCUCUUUCAGCACCGACGAAGCGCAAGUGACGGUAGGUGCAGAAGAAGGACCGGCCAACUACGUGCCAGCCGCCGCCGUAA